UUUCCGUAGGUGAACCUGCGGAAGGAUCAUUACUAAGCGAGCCCCCCGGCGAAUCGGUUAGGCCCGAUGCCGGGGCGAUCGUAACCCGUGCCUACCUACCUUUGUUGCUUUGGCGGGGCGCCCCCCCCGGCCAGCGGCCCCCCGGCUGCUGCGUCCCCGCCAGAGGACCACAACCCGUGCCAUGUCAGUGUCGUCUGAGUACUAUAUAAUAGUUAAAACUUUCAACAACGGAUCUCUUGGUUCUG
rnacentral:misc_RNA from 1 species